rnacentral:rRNA from 1 species
GAUGAACGCUGGCGGCGUGCCUAAUACAUGCAAGUCGAGCGAACAGACGAGGAGCUUGCUCCUCUGACGUUAGCGGCGGACGGGUGAGUAACACGUGGAUAACCUACCUAUAAGACUGGGAUAACUUCGGGAAACCGGAGCUAAUACCGGAUAAUAUAUUGAACCGCAUGGUUCAAUAGUGAAAGACGGUUUUGCUGUCACUUAUAGAUGGAUCCGCGCCGCAUUAGCUAGUUGGUAAGGUAACGGCUUACCAAGGCAACGAUGCGUAGCCGACCUGAGAGGGUGAUCGGCCACACUGGAACUGAGACACGGUCAAGACUCCUACGGGAGGCAGCAGUAGGGAAUCUUCCGCAAUGGGCGAAAGCCUGACGGAGCAACGCCGCGUGAGUGAUGAAGGUCUUCGGAUCGUAAAACUCUGUUAUUAGGGAAGAACAAAUGUGUAAGUAACUAUGCACGUCUUGACGGUACCUAAUCAGAAAGCCACGGCUAGCUACGUG